rnacentral:lncRNA from 1 species
AGACUGUUAAUUUUAGAGCACAGUUGUUUAAUAUUAUUAAGUUUCUUAAAAGAAUCUUUUGUGCUUCUAUGUCACCUAGAGCUUGGCAGUCAUCUGCUGUGAAUUGCCCAGUGGAAAAGGAAGUUUUGCCUACAAAAUUGUCUUGCAAAGCCCCUCAGUUUUCUGAUUGUACUGUCUAUCUACAGCUGAGACUAUUAAGGUAUAUGAGAGAUCUGUUGCAAGGAUUUUAGAAACUUCAUUGACGUCAAGAAUAUAGAGGUACCCAGAAGCUACUCUUGUAGUUGGCUGCCAUCUAUCCAUCUUUGCUAUUAUAUAUCCAGUAUUCCUAGCCUCACAGUAUACUAUCUGAUGGUUUUCAAUUUUUUUUAUUUUUUUUAAUAGUUAUGCCCAGCGAUUGAAAGACUUUUAUAACAAAUAAAAUAAAUGAGACUUGUUUGAUAUAUGAGUAUGCACCCUCAUGAAACAGAACCCCAUACUCUAGUGGUAUGAAUCUAAUGCAAUUUCCAAAAAAAUAUUUCCAAUAUUGUCUCUAAUACUCUAAUACUCUCAUUGUGGGACGAUAAGUAGGAAAAGACUGAGUGAUUCUAGAUUUUUUUUUUUUAAUAAAAUGAUUUUUAAUGUAUUAAUUAAGCAAAUAUAUUUUGCAUUCACUUCAGACUAAGAUGGAGGCCACCUCAUAGAUCAAGGUUGUAGCAAGAAAAAUGUCACCCCAUAAAACCUUAAGAACCUUCCAGAAAGUGGAACCCUUAAACUGAUGUAAAAAACCUGCAGAGUUAUAAAAGUAAAGCUCAUAAGGCACAGUAAAUUAUUCCUAACAGUGGCAAGACACAAACAGAACAGUUAAAGCAAUUUAUGAUACAAUUGCCUCUAAAAGAACAAGCAAAGACAAACAAAAAAAUCUGAAAUUGGAAAUUUGGAUCUGCUCUAAUAAAAACAUUAAACAAUGACCUCCUCCACUGAGAAACCACAUGAACUUUAGGAAAAAGACUAGAUUUUAAAAUAUCAUUUUCCAAAUACCUAUGAUUUUAUUCCUUAAUAGUGUUGUAAGUCAGGCAUGAAACAGAACAAAUUACAUUACCAGGAAAACACAACAGACUAUUAAAAGGACAGUAGCUCCACUUUGUAAAGGACAUUUCAGCAGUUGCUGGUACUGCUUGAACUCCAGCUGACUUUGCUGGAGGAGCAAAGCUUUUAUGCUUAGUUCUGAUUCUGUUACUAGAAGGAGAUGGUAGUUGAAGCAAUCCCAGUGCUUAGCCAGCCAGAAGAACAUUUUCUAUUCCCUCAAGCCCUAUAUUUUAUGUAUGAUCCGAUGAAGACUUUUUUGACUUUUUUGUGUCUUCCACCUUUAGCUUUAUAUGUGCAUUUAUGAAUUACAGUUUCUGAAAGGAUAGAAUCAUACUGCCAUGCUAUUGCCUUAACCCAGUUAUUUUUGUUGAUCAUACUAAUCUUUUGCU